CCUACGGGAGGCAGCAGUGGGGAAUAUUGGGCAAUGGGCGCAAGCCUGACCCAGCAACGCCGCGUGAAGGAAGAAGGCUUUCGGGUUGUAAACUUCUUUUAAGGGGGAAGAGCAGAAGACGGUACCCCUUGAAUAAGCCACGGCUAACUACGUGCCAGCAGCCGCGGUAAUACGUAGGUGGCAAGCGGUGUACGGAUUUACUGGGUGUAAAGGGCGUGCAGCUGGAGAGACAAGUCAGAUGUGAAAUCCACGGGCUCAAACCGUGAACUGCAUUUGAAACUGUUUCCCUUGAGUGUCGGAGAGGUAAUCGGAAUGCGUUGUGUAGCGGUGAAAUGCGUAGAUAUAAGGAAGAACACCAGUGGCGAAGGCGGAUUACUGGACGAUAACUGACGGUGAGGCGCGAAAGCGUGGGGAGCAAACAGGAUUAGAUACCCCGGUAGUC
rnacentral:rRNA from 1 species